rnacentral:rRNA from 1 species
CAGCAGCCACGGGAAUACGAAGGGUGCAAGCGUUACUCGGAAUUACUGGGCGUAAAGCGUGCGUAGGUGGUGGUUUAAGUCCGUUGUGAAAGCCCUGGGCUCAACCUGGGAAUUGCAGUGGAUACUGGAUCACUAGAGUGUGGUAGAGGAUAGUGGAAUUUCCGGUGUAGCAGUGAAAUGCGUAGAGAUCGGAAGGAACAUCUGUGGCGAAGGCGACUAUCUGGGCCAACACUGACACUGAGGCACGAAAGCGUGGGGAGCAAACAGGAUUAGAUACCCCCGUAGUCCCUGUCUCUUAUAC